GAUGAACGCUAGCUACAGGCUUAACACAUGCAAGUCGCGGGGCAGCAUGGGGGUUGCUUGCAAUCCCCGAUGGCGACCGGCGCACGGGUGAGUAACGCGUAUCCAACCUGCCCUUCACCACGGGAUAACCCGGCGAAAGUCGGACUAAUACCGUAUGUUGUCCAUUGACGGCAUCCGAUUUGGACGAAAGGCUUGGCGGUGAGGGAUGGGGAUGCGUCCGAUUAGCCAGACGGCGGGGUAACGGCCCACCGUGGCUACGAUCGGUAGGGGUUCUGAGAGGAAGGUCCCCCACACUGGAACUGAGACACGGUCCAGACUCCUACGGGAGGCAGCAGUGAGGAAUAUUGGUCAAUGGGCGUAAGCCUGAACCAGCCAAGUAACGUGCAGGAUGACGGCCCUAUGGGUUGUAAACUGCUUUUAUGCGGGGAUAAAGUGGCCCACGUGUGGGCUUUUGCAGGUACCGCAUGAAUAAGGACCGGCUAAUUCCGUG
rnacentral:rRNA from 1 species